rnacentral:rRNA from 1 species
AUGAUCUGGUUGAUCAGACUCCCUCUAAAGAUCAAAAUCUUCUUAUGGCAAUGGAUCCGCGGACGUGUCCCCUCCGGCGUGGAGGUGUUAAAACGAAAUGGCCCGGGAGAUGGGACUUGUCCUUUGUGUGGGACCGAAGAAGACUCAAAUCACAUUUUCUUCUCGUGCAUCCCCGCCCAGUUCCUCUGGAGUUGCCUUCACGAGGUGGUCGGUGGUCAUUGGUCGUUGGUGUAA